GGACCCGCACAAGCGGUGGAUUAUGUGGAUUAAUUCGAUGCAACGCGAAAAACCUUACCUACCCUUGACUUGUACGGAAUCCUCCAGAGAUGGAGGAGUGCCCGAAAGGGAACCGUAACACAGGUGCUGCAUGGCUGUCGUCAGCUCGUGUCGUGAGAUGUUGGGUUAAGUCCCGCAACGAGCGCAACCCUUGUCAUUAGUUGCUACAUUCAGUUGGGCACUCUAAUGAGACUGCCGGUGACAAACCGGAGGAAGGUGGGGAUGACGUCAAGUCCUCAUGGCCCUUAUGGGUAGGGCCUCACACGUAAUACAAUGGCCGGUACAGAGGGCUGCCAACCCGCGAGGGGGAGCUAAUCUCAGAAAGCCGGUCGUAGUCCGGAUUGUUCUCUGCAACUCGAGAACAUGAAGUUGGAAUCGCUAGUAAUCGCGGAUCAGCAUGUCGCGGUGAAUACGUUCCCGGGUCUU
rnacentral:rRNA from 1 species